CUCACAAUGAGGCUCCUUGCUCAGCUUCUGGGGCUGCUAAUGCUCUGGGUCCCUGAUCCAGUGGGGAUAUUGUGAUGACCCAGACUCCACUCUCCUCACCUGUCACCCUUGGACAGCCGGCCUCCAUCUCCUGCAGGUCUAGUCAAAGCCUCGUACACAGUGAUGGAAACACCUACUUGAGUUGGCUUCAGCAGAGGCCAGGCCAGCCUCCAAGACUCCUAAUUUAUAAGAUUUCUAACCGGUUCUCUGGGGUCCCAGACAGAUUCAGUGGCAGUGGGGCAGGGACAGAUUUCACACUGAAAAUCAGCAGGGUGGAAGCUGAGGAUGUCGGGGUUUAUUACUGCAUGCAAGCUACACAAUUUCCUCACACAGUGGUACAGCUCUGAACAAAAACCUCCCGCUG
rnacentral:lncRNA from 1 species